rnacentral:rRNA from 1 species
GAUGAGCGCUGGCGGCGUGCCUAAUACAUGCAAGUCGAGCGAACAGACGAGGAGCUUGCUCCUCUGACGUUAGCGGCGGACGGGUGAGUAACACGUGGAUAACCUACCUAUAAGACUGGGAUAACUUCGGGAAACCGGAGCUAAUACCGGAUAAUAUAUUGAACCGCAUGGUUCAAUAGUGAAAGACGGUUUUGCUGUCACUUAUAGAUGGAUCCGCGCCGCAUUAGCUAGUUGGUAAGGUAACGGCUUACCAAGGCAACGAUGCGUAGCCGACCUGAGAGGGUGAUCGGCCACACUGGAACUGAGACACGGUCCAGACUCCUACGGGAGGCAGCAGUAGGGAAGCUUCCGCAAUGGGCGAAAGCCUGACGGAGCAACGCCGCGUGAGUGAUGAAGGUCUUCGGAUCGUAAAACUCUGUUAUUAGGGAAGAACAAAUGUGUAAGUAACUAUGCACGUCUUGACGGUACCUAAUCAGAAAGCCACGGCUAACUACGUG